rnacentral:lncRNA from 1 species
AAUCUGGCAGGGCAUAGGCACCCAGUGCAAUGUCUGUGCAUAAUGCCUGUGUCAUCUCUACAGCAGAUCUCAAGAGCAAGAGAUUUACUGCGUGAUGCCGGCCACACCUUGAGCUGCUGCUCAGGGGAACAAAGGAGGAAAAUUAAGCUGUGA